rnacentral:rRNA from 1 species
GACGAACGCUGGCGGCGUGCCUAAUACAUGCAAGUCGAACGCUUCUUUCCUCCCGAGUGCUUGCACUCAAUUGGAAAGAGGAGUGGCGGACGGGUGAGUAACACGUGGGUAACCUACCCAUCAGAGGGGGAGAACACUUGGAAACAGGUGCUAAUACCGCAUAACAGUUUAUGCCGCAUGGCAUAAGAGUGAAAGGCGCUUUCGGGUGUCGCGGAUGGAUGGGCCCGCGGUGCAUUAGCUAGUUGGUGAGGUAACGGCUCACCAAGGCCACGAUGCAUAGCCGACCUGAGAGGGUGAUCGGCCACACUGGGACUGAGACACGGCCCAGACUCCUACGGGAGGCAGCAGUAGGGAAUCUUCGGCAAUGGACGAAAGUCUGACCGAGCAACGCCGCGUGAGUGAAGAAGGUUUUCGGAUCGUAAAACUCUGUUGUUAGAGAAGAACAAGGACGUUAGUAACUGAACGUCCCCUGACGGUAUCUAACCAGAAAGCCACGGCUAACUACGUG